CGGGACUGAAUCGUCGGGCUGGCUACGCCACUGGAGUCAGAAGAAAUUUAGCAGUAAUAUAGGCGUAGGAAUGUAUAGUCGCAUUGCUGAAUUUUUUGACACAAAAAUAAGGGCCCGUUUACACUUGCAAUUUCUGCUGCGAUUUUAGGUGGGAUUUUCUUCUCAUGAUGGAUGUAAACGAGUGGAUGAGUUAUGAAUGUUCAGAUGAAGGUACAUACACUCAGAACAUUCAAAACUAUUCUACUCGUUCACAUGCAUCAGAAGAAGAAAAUCGCACUAGAAAUCGAAGCAAAAAUUGCAAGUGCAAAAGGGCGUCAAUUAGGCACGUUUUCUCGGGAGAGAAGCAUCCACUGUUUUGUUGACAAUCUUAACAGUCUAAAAAUGUGUCUCUUAGAUUGCAUGAAUUUGCGAUGUCUACUAAUAACUAGCUUUGUAAAAAUCUGAAACAGAGCUAUGGGCAAUUCCAGCUUUUAGUUUAUGCCUGCAGGGGAUGGCAAGCAAGGUAUCAUAGUGCUGAUUAUGCUGAAAAUUUUCAAUAAAAACUACCGAAACAACCGAAAUAUUUCAAUAUUUACAAGUAUAAGCUAUCACUCCGUAUUUACACGGUCACCAUUUCUAUUUUUUCAGCAUAAUCAGCAAUGUGAUACCUUACUUCCCAUCGUCCCCUGCACGUGUAAACUAAAAGCCUAUUGCAAAGUUACUUAAUCAGUGAAUCUUUUUCCAAACAGCGUGAUUCGCAUACCUUAUACUCUCUUUAUACAGUAUAUAAUGACUGUUGAACGACCUUGAUUAAUGACUGUCUACCAAUUUACUCAGUAUUAAAAUAGCCGGACAACAAAAGAUCUAUUAUAAUUAGAUCUAUAAAACUGUAUCCAGUUUAUAUCAUGC